CCUACGGGAGGCAGCAGUAGGGAAUCUUCCACAAUGGGCGAAAGCCUGAUGGAGCAACGCCGCGUGGGUGAAGAAGGUCUUCGGAUCGUAAAACCCUGUUGUUAGAGAAGAAAGUGCGCGAGAGUAACUGUUCACGUUUCGACGGUAUCUAACCAGAAAGCCACGGCUAACUACGUGCCAGCAGCCGCGGUAAUACGUAGGUGGCAAGCGUUAUCCGGAUUUAUUGGGCGUAAAGGGGACGCAGGCGGUCUUUUAAGUCUGAUGUGAAAGCCUUCGGCUUAACCGGAGUAGUGCAUUGGAAACUGGGAGACGUGAGUGCAGAAGAGGAGAGGGGAACUCCAGGUGUAGCGGGGAAAUGCGUAGAUAUAUGGAAGAACACCAGUGGCGAAAGCGGCUCUCUGGUCUGUAACUGACGCUGAGGUUCGAAAGCGUGGGUAGCAAACAGGAUUAGAUACCCCAGUAGUC
rnacentral:rRNA from 1 species